ensembl:lncRNA
AACUCCAUCUCAGUAUCUAUUUCCAGAGCACCCACCACAUGACACCUUUGAAAAACCAUAAGCUUGGUGUUUUUGGCUAAGAAAUAUGAAAGAGAACGUGAGUGGAGCCAUAGUAAAAUAGAGUCAGUGCAGCCAUUUCAGAGGAAUUGCCCUGCACAUCUUGUUUUCUUUAGCUUUCUAACUGGACCAAACCGCCAACGUUCCAAGAAGUCAGUAAGGACAAGAAUAUCCUGUUUCAGUGAGGACUGACGAAACUAGACUUUGCUGAUGAACAAACUGCUAACCAAUCAAUGAAGUACAGGUCUAGUCUUUUGCCUGAUGACUGAAAUUUCAAGCCAAUCUAUGAAAUACAAACUUAGCCUCACCUCAUCUAGCACCAGUGAACUCUUCCUUAAUACAACUUACCUCAUCUUCCUCCUUUUGUCCCAUAAAAAUCCUGAGCCCCUUUCCUGUAAUCAGAGUACAUUUGAGUUUCUAUUUGAAUCUGUAUCUCCCAAAUUGCAGUUCUUGAGACCCCGAAUGAGUUUUUUGCGUCUCUUGCAGUUUAUGCCUCUUGUUCAUUGACGUUACAAGGUUUCAGAAACAUGGGGUCUAGAGCAACUGACCUCCAAUUCUGGAGCCACUGGGCGCACACAAGCAAGGCAGCUGCAAUGAGUUCUUUGUGCUCUAUCAUCUCCUCCUGGUGGCUCCGGCUCCUGGUGCUUUGUUGAGGAACUUCUGUUUGUUUGUUCCUUCCUUGAGCCUUUUGGUAAGUACUUACAAAUGGGAAGUCCAUUUUCUAAGGGGACUGCCAAGGGGCCACCCCGCUCUGGGACUUCUGCUGGUUUUAUGUUUAAAGAAUACAGACCUCCUAAAUGUAGAUUUUUGUCCUGCUGGAUUCACAUUAUUCAGGAUGAUUUAAGGCUUCACAGCCCACUUUGGGGCUCUUUUGAGCUUCCAAAACUUGUGUUUUUGCACGCUAGAUUUGAGAACCUCAGAUUUAAGACCGGAAGUAAGAUCUUUAAUUUCUAGAGUCAAGCACACCACCUUCUGGCACACCUGAUUAAAAACGAUGGCCCUGGAAGCUGUAAAUAUUUAUAAAGAACAGGAAAAUCUUACUAAGUUUGUUUGACAUCCUGAGAACUUGGUUUGGUAGCCAUCAGGCUGGGAGCCAACAUAUGGCUGGGCAGAAAUGGAGGUUAAACUCCAUUUGCAGCUAAGCUUCUACCAAACUGCCGCCAGCCUCAGAAGAAUUACAUUGGCCAUUAGAAAGUAUGUUCCAAUUAGAUAAACCAUUUAAGAAAUGCACUUAAAAGCAAAGUCUUCAAAAUUCUGCAAUAGACUUAUCGAAGAUGUUUACCCUUAAAAGAUCUUGACGGUAGAGCCUUCCUCUGCUCUGCUCUGCUCUGUAGUCUUCUUGCUCAAAUGUGGCCUAAAGUCUCCAAAGCAAACCGCUUUCCCUCCUGUGUGGGAUGUGACACACUGGGAAUAAACCUUCCUGGUGACGAGGGACCAGCGAUGCUCAAAAUUAAGGCUUCCUAUCAGGAAAGCACCUUAGUUGAGUUUCACACAAAGGCAGUAACAACAGAAUCUAUAAAGGUUAUGGCACAUGUGGAUGAAGUCCAUUCUGCUUCUGCAAAAAAAGAAAUUGACCCCUCUUGCUAGACUCUUGCCAUCCUGAUAUCCUUGUAACAUGGCAACAGUCUGCUCCUGUAUCAGAGAAAUUAAGGUGGGUAAACGAUGGCUGUAAAUUGAAUGAACAGUCAGGGCCAUGGGAAACCCAAGACAAUGCUUUAAUGACUGAUCAGCAAUGCUUUCCAGUAUUUGAUCAACACUGCUUUUGGAGAAAGAUCUUGAUCAAAAGAGAAAAUGUGAAAGGUGACAUGAGUGGAGCCAUAGUAAAAUAGAGUCAGUGCAGCCAUUUCAGAGGAAUUGCCCUGCACAUCUUAUUUUCUUUAGCUUCCAGACUGGACCAAACCACCAACGUUCCAAGAAGCCAGUAAGGACAAGAAUAUCCUGUUUUG